rnacentral:tRNA from 1 species
AUUAACUCAGUAGGUAGAGCAUGAGACUCUUAAUCUCAGGGUUGUGGGUUGAAGCCUCACAU